UGACCUCAACUCAGUCGUGAUUACCCGCUGAAUUUAAGCAUAUAACUAAGCGGAGGAAAAGAAACUAACGAGGAUUUCCUUAGUAACGGCGAGUGAAAAGGAAAAAGCCCAACGCUGAAUCCAAUAGACAUUUAGUGCUAUAUGGAAAUGUAGCGUAUAGGUAUAACUAUCCAUAACAUAUUUUUACACCCAAAGUCCCCUUGAGCGGGGCUACAGUCCAUAGAAGGUGCUAGACCUGUACGGGUGAAAAAAGUUAUGGUAGGUUAUACCUUGGAGUCGGGUUGUUUGAGAUUGCAGCCCAAAGAGGGUGGUAAACCUCAUCUAAGGCUAAAUACGACCACGAGACCGAUAGCAAACAAGUACCGUGAGGGAAAGUUGCAAAGAACUUUGAAGAGAGAGUUCAAGAGGGCGUGAAACCGCUGAGAUGGAAACGGAUAGAGUUAACGAAACUUAUCGGUAUUCAACCGAUCAAUUUAGCAAUCUUAUUUGAUUUAUUAUUCAUUUUUUUUUAAAUGAAUAAAAUGAUAUAUAAGAUAGAAGUGCUAAAUUUCCUUAUGAUUGGUGUAUUUACCGAUAGUAUGCAUCGAGAGCUUCGUUUUAGCAUAUUAAUACAAUUUUUAUUUAGUGGACCAAUUUUUCGUAUGAUAAUUGGAAUCCUAAAUAUGUUGAAAUAUGUCUUAGAUGAAGUUUAAAAUGUAACUUUCACUUGAAAUAAUAGUGACAUGCAUUGAUUAUAAUUUUGCUAAUUACAUUUACAUGUGGUCGCAUGCGAUUUAUCGGUAAAUGUUGAUGAAAAAAUUAGUAAAUUUAUAAUAUUAUAUGCAUUAUAUCAAAGUUACAUUUCGAUGUGAACGUUAAUCACCUAUCUGACCCGUCUUGAAACACGGACCAAGGAGUCUAACAUAUACGCAAGUUAUUGGGUAGUAAACCUGUUAAUAAAAGCAUAAUGAAAGUAAAGAUUAUCUUUGGUAUAAUUGAUAUGUGAUCUAUAUAUGUAUAUAUACAUAUAUAUAUAUAUAUAUAGCGUAACAUAAUCCCGUUCAUGUUGCAUGCAAUAGGGCGGAGAUAGAGCGUAUAUGCUGGGACCCGAAAGAUGGUGAACUAUACCUGAGCAGGAUGAAGCCAGAGGAAACUCUGGUGGAGGUCCGAAGCGAUUCUGACGUGCAAAUCGAUCGUCUGACUUUGGUAUAGGGGCGAAAGACUAAUCGAACUAUCUAGUAGCUGGUUCCCUCUGAAGUUUCCCUCAGGAUAGCUGGAGCACGUAAUAAAGCAGUUAUAUUCGGUAAAGCGAAUGAUUAGAGGAAUUGUGGGACGAAACGUCUUCAACCUAUUCUCAAACUUUCAAUGAGUAUGACGUCUUGCUUGCUUGAAUGAAGCAUAGACAUUGAAUGUGUGCUCCAAGUGGGCCAUUUUUGGUAAGCAGAACUGGCGCUGUGGGAUGAACCAAACGUUGAGUUAAAGUGCCAAACUUUCCGCUCAUGAGACCCCAUGAAAGGCGUUGGUUGAUAUAGACAGCAGGACGGUGGCCAUGGAAGUUGGAAACCGCUAAGGAGUGUGUAACAACUCACCUGCCAAAUCAACUAGCCCUGAAAAUGGAUGGCGCUUGAGCGGAAGACUUAUACUCAACCGUUGCAUGGCUUGUGUUCAAAAAAAAAAAAAAAGAAACCUGGCCGCAACGAGUAAGAGGGUCGCAAUGGUUAGCGUUGAAGACUUUGGGCGUAGGCCCGGUUGGAGCUUCCAUUGGUGCAGAUCUUGGUGGUAGUAGCAAAUAUUCAAGUGAGAUCCUUGAAGACUGAAGUGGAGAAGGGUUCCACGUGAACAGCAGUUGAAUGUGGGUCAGUCGAUCCUAAGAUAUUGGCUAAUGCCGUUUAAUAAAAUAGAGGAAUGGAGAUGUAAUCCAUCUGAUAAAUCGAAAGGGAAACGGGUUAAUAUUCCCGUACCUGGACACGGAGAUAAAUGCUCAUCAUGAGAAUUUAGCGCGGUAACGCAAAUGAACUCGGAAACAUUGAGGAAAGCCCGAGCCAGAGUUCUCUUUUCUGGUUAAGGAACGGACUCCCUGGAAUCGGUUCAGCCGGAGAUAGGGACGUUGUUUCCGUAAAGCGCCACGGUUCCUGUGGUGUCUCGUGCGCUUUGUUCGAUCCAUGAAAAUCCGAGGGAGGCUAUUUGAAUUUCGUGCCAGAUCGUACCCAUAUCCGCAGCAGGUCUCCAAGGUGAACAGCCUCUAGUCGAUAGAAUAAUGUAGGUAAGGGAAGUCGGCAAAUUAGAUCCGUAACUUCGGGAUAAGGAUUGGCUCUAAGGACUGGGCCGGUCGGGCUGUAAUGUGAAGUGAGUACGGUUUAAUCCAUGCAGUGUAACAUUAAUGCUUCAAAACAUUGAUGAAACUCGGCUAGUGUUCGAACUGUCUUAUGGACCGUUAUAGCUGCGUAUCACAUUUACUUUUUUAACUAAAAGUAAAUGUUUAUUGAUACUUCGGCCGGCGUUAAACAGUCAACUUAGAACU
rnacentral:rRNA from 1 species